rnacentral:rRNA from 1 species
UACAGAGGGGGCAAGCGUUGUUCGGAAUUACUGGGCGUAAAGGGCGCGUAGGCGGCCCGCUAAGUCGAACGUGAAAUCCCCCGAGCUCAACUCGGGAACUGCGUCCGAUACUGGCAGGCUUGAAUCCGGGAGAGGGAUGCGGAAUUCCAGGUGUAGCGGUGAAAUGCGUAGAUAUCUGGAGGAACACCGGUGGCGAAGGCGGCAUCCUGGACCGGCAUUGACGCUGAGGCGCGAAAAGCUAGGGGAGCAAACGGG